UGUGAGGCUACCUGAUAGCAGUGGUGCAUUCUCAAUGACUUGGGGCAGAUCAAAAUUAAUUCCUUUAAUUGAAGGGUAUUUGGAGACUAUCAUUUUNAGGUUUUGUCCAUUUCCACCUCCNACAUCAACCAACGUUGAUAUUCCCUCAAAUCCANUAUAUAUGUCAAGUAUUCUAUUCAUAUCUGNUNCNCACAAAUCCGCCAUANACNUGUUAAAAAUUUCGUUCAUUUUUGGAUUCUUUUCCAUGUACUGGUACGUUGUUACCCCAUGAAGUUUCUUGAACAAAUCAACGUCUGCAUCAACCACUGCUUCCUUGAAAUUCAGCCUGAGAAAAGAGAUUGGAGCAAAGUAAGCUUUCCUUGUUAAAAAAAAGGAAAAUAAGGCUACACUAUUUUAGUCAAAGACCUAAUAUUUAGACUUAAAAAAGUGUUGGAGUACACAUGACCUUUAUUGAUGAGUUUAUAAAAAGGAGUUUAAAUAAAGAAAUACAAACACCACUCUCUAAUCUAGUGGAAACCUUAAAAGCAAAGAAUUAAUGAGUCUUUUAUCUUUAUACUACACAUAUACUUUAUGUCAACAAAAAAUUGAUGUCAUAAAUAAAAAGCUUAUAUUUGAUAGUAUAUCUAAUUAAACUGAAAUAACUUCAUUACAGUUUCAUUCAUAUCAUUAUACAGUAAUGAUAAGAAUGGGAUGCAUAAGAGUUAAAAUGAUUUACCAAAGUGGUGAUAGUGCAGGACAAGAGAGAAAGGAUGCAAAUGAAGCGAAGUAGCCUCUAGUUGCAUCAGGGGCAUAGUAUUGUCCAAGUUGUGAGAGUCCGUAAACUGUCUCGGUGGCACCGUGUUGUGUGGUGCGUGUUGAACUGGUGAGAACAGAAUAACUAGCAAGCAAACGUAGCAUGCGAUCAAGCCUAUUGGGCAAGUCAGGGUGCUGGUUUGGGAGCUUAGAAGCAAUUUCAUGAGAUGACAUGAGUGAACCGUGUGGUGUUGCCUUGGCUAUGAUCUCAAACAGGUUGAGCUCAAUAGCGGCAUUCAGUACUGCAGGGUACACCAUAGUAGCACUAAGCAACAUUGCGGAUACACGAGCAUCUUCAUCACAUUUUUGAGGACAAAUUGUAAAGAGGCUAUUCUUGCUAACAACUUUGGAUUCCUCCAUUAUUCACUCUUAAUUUAACUCUAAUGAUCUUUGGUUUCUGGUUUGGUUACAAUUUGUCUACUUAAUUGCUCUUCAGUGUGCUCUUUUUAUAGCUGUUUAUGGUCGUAGAUUGAAGGCUUUACGUUUCCUUUUCUUGGUGGUUUAAUUAUUUACGUUUCCUUUUCAAUUUCUUUAUAUUCAAAUACAAAGCAAAAUAAUUACAUUAUCUUUUUAUUAAAUUAAAAUUAGUUUACAAUAUAUAUAUAUAUAUAUAUAUAUAUAUAUAUAUAUAUAUAUAUAUAUAUAUACUGAUUUCACAAGUUAAUUUUAUAAAAUUUAAUUAAACUUAAAAUCUAUUUUGUAACGAUAUAUCUAAGAUUAUAGAUUUAAAAUUAUUUUAAUAAAUUUUUUGUUAAACGUAUCAUUUUAUAUUAAAUUGUUAUAAGACUAUUAAUAUAUAAUUUUAUAUUUGAAAUUGUAUAUUCUUGACGUGAAAUAUCUUAAAAAUCUUACCUUAUAAAAUUAAUUUUGUAAAAACUUAUAAACUGUUAUAUAAAAAUUCUUUGUUAUUAUUUUUUCAAUAAUCCAAAUUUAGCCUGAUGUGUGAAUGUUUGAGAAGAAAUCUUUCUAUUUAUACAAUAAUUAUCAAUUUACUGUCUUAAUAAAAAAUAUGUUCAGUUUCCCUAUUUUUAUUUGUGAAACUUUGACUAUUCAAAGACGAAGAUGAUUAUUCUUUGAAAAUGAGAAAUAAAAUAAAUGAUAAAAUUGAUGACUGAAUUAAGAACAAUGCAUCAAAGAAAAAAUUGCAUAUAAUAAUUUUCUUUUAUAACUUUUCUAGAAUAUUAUGUGGUGAUUCGUGAUUAUUCACUAGUUCAUAAUCGGGUUACAACGUCACUUAUUACAGGUCAGUUAGAGAGGGAAGCGACGUAAAUUAUUGACCGGUGACAAUUACGUAAAUAAAUGAAGCCUAUAGACGUAUGUUAGAUGGGGGACCGACGUCUAUAAUACUAUAAACGUCAGUGUCCCUAGAAACUGACGUUUAUAUGUCUGACAGGUAAGUGAAAAGUCAUUUUUUUCCGUCAUAUAGACGUCGGUGACCCUCCUACGCCACAUCUAGAGUUUGACAGGUAGGUGAAUAUUUAAUUUUUUUCGCCAUCUAAACGUCUAAUCCCGCCACUUGACGUCUAUAUGUGAUAUAUAGACGUCGGUGUCCCUCCUACCCGACGUUUAUAGUCUCACAGGUAAGUGAAAAUUUAAUUUUUUUCGCCAUCUAGACGUCGGUACCCGCCACCUGACGUCUAUAUGCGAUUAUAGACGUCCUUGCCACGCACACCCGACGUCUAUAUAGUUUGACCAGGCAUAUGAAAAGUCAUUCCUUUCCGCCCACUAGACGUCUCGUCCCGCCAAGUCGACGUCUAUAUAUAACAAAAAUAUUAAUUUUUAAAUGGAAUGGACGUCACAUUACUGAAGAGCCCGACAUAUAUUCCAUUAUAGACAUCAGCUUUGUGGGUAACCGACAUCUAAUUUCUUGUUAAAUUAUCGGUGCGAACCAGUAGUUUGCGAACCAGCCGUUUAGCUGUCUUCCUUCGUCUUUUCUCUCCGUUGCACUGCAUUUCCAAGUGCAUUUGACGUCCCAUGAACCACUUAAAGUUGUUUUUACUCUGUUUAAAGUAAUCUUUGAUGUAUUAUCUUUCAUUUUAACAGAUUAAAAUGAGUUUUCGUUGUGUUUUGGUGCGGUUUUUCUUAUGUCUUUGGGUAGCAUAAUGCACCUUCUCCCUUUGCUAGUUUCCUCCUAAGAAAAGCUUAGGCUUUUUGGAUCUCUUAUGGCAUUUCAACCUGAAGUCAAACUUGGGUUGUUGCCUACUUCCACUCCAACCGCCAAAGAAAAACAAAAAGAUUAGAAAACGGUGUCACCGUAUUCUCACCGUAUUCUUUUUCAUUAGCGAUCGGAGUGGACCUAGGCAACGACCCAGGUUCGUCUUUGAGUUAAAAUGCCAUAGGAGACACAAAAGACACAAUUUUUCUUACGAGGAAUCUAGCAAUGGCAGGAGGUGCUACUACGCUACGCACAGACAAGAAAAAAACUGCAUCAAAACACAACGAACACUUCAUAAACGUCGGUUAAUGUACAAUUCGACGUCUAUAGUGCCCUUAGACGUCGGUUGAUGCAAUGUCUGACGGCUUUAUAGACGCCGUACGUGUCACUGAACCGACGUCUAUAAUGCCCUUAGGCGUCGGUUAGUGCAAAGUCUGAUGUCUUUAUAGACGUCGAGUUUUUCACUGAACCGACGUCUAUAGCGACGUCGCACCUGCAGAAGUCCGACAUCUCAUUAACGUCACCAGUAAAUAUGUCGGUUCGUAAGGUGACGUAAAAAGCCCAAAAUAACCAACGUCUAAAGUCCUUUCUGCACUAGUGAUUUAUUAAAUUGGCUUAAUACCGCUAAUGGUCCCUAGUUUGGGGGGUUGUGUUCAAAAUGGUCCUACCUUUUUUUUUGUGUAACAAUUGAUCCCACCUUUUGAAAAAACAGUUCAAGUUACUCCUUUUUCAUAACGGCGUCAAUUAUCUAACGGUGUUGGUGCCCCUCUGGACUAAACUUAAUGACGUGUCAAUGUUAUGUGAUUGCGUGGCAGUGAGGUUAAAAUUAUAAAAAAAAAAUUAGGUCGCAUUAGCUAACCCAACCAGUAUUUGCCAGCCCAACCCAAACUGCAGGCCAACCCAAGUUUAGGAAAUCCCAGUCAGAAGCUAACAACGUCGUCACCGCGACCCUACAGCGGCAUCCACCAGCCCUCCGUGGCCACCAUUCACACAACUAAAGAAGAACCAAACAUAAGUUAACAAAACAACACUCUCAAUUCAAGAGACGACCAUCACAACCAUCAACCUUAAUCGAAAUACAAGAACAAGAAAAACCCCGAAUUUAAUUCGAAUGAAACCCUACAUUUGAAGUUGCAGACGAGAUCAAAUCAUCAUAAGCAAAACCCCCAAAACGCAGAAUCAGAACCUAAACCCUAAAACGCAAAAUCAGAACCACGGCGGCAUCACAAUGUCGUUUUUUACACUGCCAUCACCAGAUAAUCAGCUCUUCAACCUCCUCCUCCUCAUCGUCGGAGGUCUGUCGCGACGCGUCGCCGUCGUGACGCCGAUUGCACUCAGUCGCAAUCAAGACUGACCCGUGUCCACCAUUGCGGUUUGCUUCCGUUCUAAUGGACCAGCUUGCACUUUUGAGUUUAAUGGGGGAAGUUCUGGUUUGCUGGGUCCAGGUGGAAAAGGGGAAACAAUUAAGAAUAAAGAUUGCUAAGAAUAAACAACAUUAAGAAUGAAGAGGAAAAGGGGGAGGAAGAAGGAGAGGGAAAGGAGGAGGAAGAAGGAGACAGCGGAAGAUGAAGCUGAUGUGUAAACAAUUAUUUUUUAAAAAAUUCAAAAUUAAUACGAUAAAUUAUUUAUCGUGCCACGUAAGAGUGAACACCGUUAGAAAUUUGACGCCAUAAGGCAAAAGGAGUCAAUUGACCAAUUUUUUCAAAAGGUGAGAUCUAUUGCUACCAAAAAAAAAAGAUAGGACCACAUUGAACACAACUCCUCAAACAUGAGACCGAAAAAGAUAUUAAGCCUACUAAAUUUAAACCAACCAAUAAAAUACGAUACAUUAUUUAUUUCCAAAAAGUUAUUAUGAAAAUUUAUUAACAUACCGGAGUAAAAAAUUCAAAGUAAUAUGUGGUGUGAUAUUGGUCAUACGGAAAUAAGCAGAGUAUCUGUAUGGCUGAAUUCUGAUUUUUCUUUGGUAACUGUCGUGUUCAUUCCUCAACCAAAAGUUGCAUUGGACUCGUCAAUUGAUAAUUUUUCUUAUGAAUGUGAGUGAAGUUGGAAUGCUAUCUGCACCUAACAUUGACCUCAGAAACAUGUUUAUUGACAGUCAUAGCACGCCAAGAAAAACUUCAUUAAAUGACUAACUAUUGCAAACAGUUGAUGAAUUAUGUAGUUAUUUUCAAGGAUACCGUGCCUCCUUAUUUAUCAAGUCACAGAGCAUAAAAGUCUUCUACAGUGUUUUGGAUUGAAAAUUUAAAGAAGCUUAUUACUUUUAGAUCAUUUAAAAGCUUUAUAAAAGAUAUAGUCUGAAUAUAGAAUUUUAGAAUUUUAUAAAAAAUAGUUAGAUUAAUUAAAACUAUAAAAUUUUAAACUUUACAAAAACAAAUUAUUAAUCUCUUUUUAAUUUAACCUGAUUUUGGUCAAGUCAUUGUGCCUAAUACCUAAAUAUUCUUUUCCCAUUAAAACUAGUUAGGAUUUUUUUUGUCAAUCUUAAAGUAUUUUUCUGAGUAAUGUUGAACAAUUGUCUUCUAAUUUAUUAAUUAAAAUUAUUUUUAGUUGAUGUCAAUUACAAUUUGUUCAACUAAUGCCAAUUAGAUUAUAAGUAUUUUUUUAUUAUUAAUGUUAGUUAAGAUUUUCCCCAUUAUCCUUGGGAGAACUAUUUUUUUUAUUGAUAUUGACCAGAGUUUCUCUGUUAAUAUUAAUAAAAAAAAAUUAUUUAUAUUUUUAUAAUUAUUUUUAUUGUUGUUGUUUUAUAUUACACUAAUUUUUCAUUUAAUAUUAGUUAGUGUUUUCUUAACUAUUGUUUUGAAAACUAUUUUGUAGUAGAUGUGAAUUAUCUUUUGGUUUCCCUUACAGCCUGUUGUAAUUUAUUGUGUAUGUUAGAAUGAUUAUUUAUAUUAUGAAUAAACCAACGUUAUUCUUGGCUAAUAAUUUGUUGGUAUAUUUUUUUUCUAAUGAAGAAUGAAAAAAUUCCAACCAAAAUUACCAGCGUUUUUAUUUUGUCAAUGUCAAAACAUUAAUGAAAAAGUUGAAAAAAAAAAUCAAGUCUUAUACGGAUCACUCAAAUCAAUACAGAAUUGUGAUCAAUAUUAAAUAAAAGGCUUAAUACCGUUUUUGGUCCCUAGUUUGGGAGGUUUUGUUCAAUAUGGUCAUACCUUUUUUUUAAUAACAAUUGAUCUCACUUUUUGAAAAAACUGUUCAAUUAACUCCUUUUUUGUUACAACGUCAAUUUUCUAACGGUGCUGGUUACGACGUCAAUAAGUUAUUUCAUGUAUUCACCUAUCCAAAUGUUAUUUUAACAGUCCUGACAUAAUGUUAUGUUAAAAAUCAUGUUACCAUCGUAUACAAUAAGGACUAUAAUAAACAAUUUAAACUUGAAUAUGGGACCACUAUGAACAAAAAGGACUCAAUUGAACAGUUUUUCAAAAGGUGGGAUCAAUUGUUAUGAAAAAAAAAAGUAGGACCAUAUUGAACAAACUCUCCCAAACUAGAGACCAAAAACGGUAUUAAGCCUAGAUAAAAAAACAACCUCCAAUGACGUGAGAAGAAGUUGUGAUAAAUUUUGACUAAAAAUAACAACCACUGUUGAUUAAACAAAUUAUCAAUAUUUCUAAUUUUAAGCUAUUAACAUUUUUUUUCCUAUUUGGCAUAAGUUAAAACAUUUUGUUCAAAUAAAAAAAAUAUUAAAACUCAAUCAAUGUUGAAAAUGUUUUAGUUAUUUCUAAAUUGGACUUUCCAUCAGUUAAGUAUCAACUAAAACUAAAAAACAAAAAAAAAAAACUUAUAUCAGAAUAAAAUAUAGCAAUGUUUUAAGUUACUUUCUGUCUUUUUUAGAAAGAAAAAAAAGUUAAAUUUGUGAUUUAUUAAUUGGAUCAGUUUUUUAUUAGUUUGACCCGUUUUUUUUAUCACUUUUUUAUUGGAUUGACCAGUUUUAAAAUUAUUAUCAAUAAUUAAGAAUUACUUUUUCUUAGUUGAUGUGCAGGCCGUAUCCCGUUAUUUUAUAACAGGUUUAAUACAUCAUUUGAUCCUUUUUUUGAGAGUUUGGUUCAAAAUGAUCUCAUCUUUGGAAAAAGUUCACUAAGAUCCCAUAUUUUAAUAAAAAUUGUUUAAUAUCGUCCUUUUGACAGACGACGUUAAAAUUAUAACGGUACAUAUGCUAGCGUGGUCAAACGUUGACGAGCUAUUUAAAACAAAACUUACGUGGCUCUGUGAUGUCAUUUAAAUAUGUAAAUACUUAAGAUAAAAAUAAACAAUGACAUAAAAGAAGGUUAAAGUAAAAGAUCCUUACCAUGUAGUUUGGAAGAUUUUCUUAGCAGAAGCAUGGUGACUUUCAAAAGGUAUAAACAAGAGUAGGAUAAAUGGUGUUGUUUUCCUUCAUGCAUGGAGGAAGUUAUUUCACUGAAAAGGCUCCCAACUUUGCAAAAACCAGACAUCCUAGUUUUGGUCAAAGACAGAAACACAUAAAAACCUUCCAACUCAGGAAUAUAUCGCUUACCAUAAUGCACAGUGCCUAUCUACUCUACAAGAACCAUUUACCUCAAACUAUUGCCUUCUAUCUCAAAUUACAUGCAGCAAAAGCUUAAAAAACAGAAGAGAAAACUCUAAAAUUUAAGAUGCAGUGUUUAAGGUCUCUAAGUAUAAGUUGGGGAAGAGGAGCAACUAGGUGAUGGGGUUGAACAAACCCACAAUUACUGCAAGGUAGAGGAGCAUCAAACUUGGUCAUAUGCUUAAAACUCGCACAACUCCUCGUAGAAUUAUGUAUAUUAUUCACUCUCAAAACAUGCUCCGACAAUCUCAACGUGUACUUAUUAUCGUCAUUCUUUCCCUCAUCAUCCCCCUCCCCUCUAAUCAUAACUAUGGAGUGCCCGGUAGAAUGAAACCGUACAAACAUUUGUUCCUCGUGUGCAUCAACCACCUCAUGUUCCUGUCCUAGACCACGACUACAUUCAGGUUCACUUUGUUCCUCCUGUUGUUCAUGUUGUUGUUGAUCUUAACUGUUAUCACAAACAUGUUCAUGACCACAAUGAAGGCCUUCUUCUUCUCUCACAUCAACGCGUAUCUCGCUGCUGGCUGAGGAAACAACGAUGUCGCUGGGUUUGAGAGGCUGGUCGUUUGGGGGAGAGUCAAGGUCUCGAGGAAAAACGGGGCAGGUUUUGUGAGAGCAGAGCCAGAGGUCGAUGCAGUCCUGGUGGAAAACAUGGCAGCAGAGGGAAAUUGAUGAAAAUAAAAAACAACAACUUUUUAUACCUCCAAAAUCAGAGUCAAUUGAUGAAAAUACCUAUUUAACACAAAAACAAAUUAAACCUUAACCCCCAAAUAAAACACCAACAACAUCAACUAAUUAGGCUCAGAUAAUGACCCAUUACCUUACUUCAGUACGAAGUUCCACUUGCACCUUCCAGGAAUCAACAAUAGAAUCAACCGUACAAUGACCAGAAACCACCACUUUCAAAACAGUGAAAACCCAGGAAUGGCGUAAUCAGAUAAGGGUAAGGGCUUUUUACUUUAACCACUUUUAUGUCAUUUUUUAUUUUUAUCUUAAGUAUUUACAUAUUUAAAUGACAUCACAGAGCCACAUAAGCUUCGUUUUAAACAACUCAUCAACGUUUGGCUACACUAGCAUCUGCACCGUUAUAAUUUUAACGCCGUCUACCAAAAGGAAGAUAUUAAACAAUUUUUAAUGAAAUAUGAGACCUUAGUGAACUUUUUGCAAAGAGGGAAUCAUUUUGAAUCAAACCCCCAAAAGAAGAGAUCAAAUGAUGUAUUAAACCUUUAUUAUAACAUAAUAUUAAUUAGGAAUGUAGUUGUUUAAUGGGAAUAAUUUGGAAAUCCGUGAUAUCAAUUUUUUCCUUAUACGUAGUUAACUAAAUUUAUAUUUUAUAAAUUAAAAUAAUUUUAAUUAAAAUUAUAUUUAAAUAUUUUAUUUCACCGAAUAUUUAAUGUAUUUCACAUUUAUGUUUAAUGUAUAUUGUUGUUUGAUGUUGAUAGAAAUAAUAAAUUUUUGUUUUUAAUAUUAUUUGGCUAUUCCAUUUUAAUAAAAAAUUAUAGGUUUAAUAUUUAUUUUGGUUUUUAUUUUUUUAUAAGUUUUUGUUAAAAAUGAGUAUAGAUUUUUUUUUCGACGUUCAAAACGAUAUCAAAUUUUAUAAAUUUAAUUUAAUUUAAUCAUUCAUCUAAAUUAUUAACAAUUAGAUGUUUAUGUCAGCUAUUAGUAAAUGAGGUAUAAGUUUAUGAUAUAUGUGAAAACUUAAACUAAGAUGAGGUAGAAUAGAAUGGUGGUAAUAAAAGAAGUUUCUUAAAAAGACAAAAGUCAUUGCAAUGGGAGGUUUCAACUGCUAUUUUGAUCAAAUUGGUGUUCAUUUUGGCUUGCUUGUAUGUUCAAAUUGAAUGUGGAAGAGCCCAUGUAAGGUAUUCUUAACCAGAUGUUGCAUUUUUUAAUUGCGAUGUUAGGGUUUUUUUUGUCAAGGUGAGUUGGGUUUUUGUCGUAUUGAUUUGGGUAAAAUGUAAUUUUCAAUGUGAGUGUAUAUGAGUUUGAUAUUUAAAAUGUUGUAAUUAUUUCGUUGUGAUUCCUUGUCGGAUUCCAUUUGCAGGGUUGGAUUUAGAAUGUACGAUGAGAGGUUUGAAGUUAUGAUCCACCAUUGUGUGACUUGUUAAAGGAGAUUCUCUUAAAAUAUAUUGGUGAGAAAGUAAUUUAUUGGAAUGAUAAUCCUGAUAAGUGGAAUUAUUUGGAGGUUGUUGAUAUCCUUAAAGAUGUGGGCUAUAUUGAACUAAAAGAAUUGUUUUAUAGUAUUGAAACAUUCUUGCAUAAGUUGCAUGAAUAUGAUAAAGGUAAUAAAAAAUCAUGAGGAAGUUCAAUUAUUUGUGGUUCCCAAUGUGGAUGAAUCAAAAGGUUUAGAAAAUCAAUUGAAUAAAGUGUUCCAGUUGUGCGAAAGACGUUCGGAUUGCGGAGAGGAUAGUCGUGUUGGUGAUUUGGUAGAUGUUGAAGUGGAGUUUAGGAGUGGCGAUAAAAGUGAUGUUGAGGAUGAGGUUGAAAUGAAAGUUGUAAUUGAUGAUGUACUACAAAACGAGGGUGAAGAAGAAUUAGAAGUUGAUGGGGCUAUUGAAGUGGAGGGAUACAAUGAAGUUGAAUUGUAGAUGCAGAUUCAGUUUGAGUUGCACUUGAAGUGAAGGUACAAAGAUAGAUAGAUUCAAGUGAAGGGAUAAAAUACUCCAACGACCACUUUUCCGUUCACUUUUUACUUUAUCAUUUUCCAUUUCCUACUUCUCUAUCACCUUACUUAGUCUUAGCCUUAGCUUUAUUUUUCAACCCUUCAAUCAACUCACCAAUAUUGUGUAAAAAUUAUAUUAAAUUUUUUUUCAUAUAAAUUCAUACUAGUGUCGUUAUCAGUAAUAUAUAAUAUAUAUAUUAGUUUUACUUUUCAAAGAGUAUAUAUAAGGAAAUCCAAAUUAUUUAAAUGUAAACGUUACAUCACAUCACAUGAAAAUAGAAAGUGAAGAAGAAAGUGGUACCCCACAUCUCACAUAAAGGUCUUUAGUGUUUGAUCUCCACACUUUGACCUUUAAAUCCUGAACUAUUUAUUAUUGACCUAUUUGUAGAAUUCCAUCACUCCCGGCCCAGACGACGCAUGACAAGCAACAUUAAAUUUUGAGAAACCAGCGAGCUUGCACAAAUUCUCGUACUCUUUCUCAGUUCUUUCCUUUCCACCAGCUGUGAUAAACAUAAGGUUGUCCAGGCUCGAAACAAGCUGAGAUUGUUCAGUUGCUUCUGGUUUUUCUGGCAUUAUGAACUCCAGAACAACCACCUUCCCAUCUCUAGACAGUGCUUUGCGACAAUUGCUCAAAAUUUCUACGCACUUCUCAUCAGACCAAUUGUGCAACACAGCCUAAAACAACAUCAUAAAACACAAAUAUUUAUACAACCUUAAAACGAAAUUAGAUUCAUUCAAUACAUGAAAUAGGUGGUUACUAUCAUGUAUACUAACCUUUAGUGUCAUGGCGUCACCUUCUGGAACUCUUGCAAACAUAUCUCCUCCAACAUGCUCAACCCCUUAACAAUGUUUUACAAAUUUUAGAAUUUAAAUUAUUAUAUCAUAACCCUUUGAUAUGUAAUAAAACAUUAAAUAUGUCAGGCUACCUGAUAGCAGUGGUGCAUUCUCAAUGACUUGGGGCAGAUCAAAAUUAAUUCCUUUAAUUGAAGGGUAUUUGGAGACUAUCAUUUUCAGGUUUUGUCCAUUUCCACCUCCNACAUCAACCAACGUUGAUAUUCCCUCAAAUCCANUAUAUAUGUCAAGUAUUCUAUUCAUAUCUGUUACGCACANNUCCGCCAUAGACUUGUUAAAAAUUUCNUUCAUUUUUGGAUUCUUUUCCAUGUACUGGUACGUUGUUACNCCAUGAAGUUUCUUGAACAAAUCAACGUCUGCAUCAACCAC
rnacentral:lncRNA from 1 species